rnacentral:rRNA from 1 species
CCUACGGGGGGCAGCAGUGAGGAAUAUUGGUCAAUGGGCGCGAGCCUGAACCAGCCAAGUCGCGUGAGGGAAGACGGUCCUAUGGAUUGUAAACCUCUUUUGUCGGGGAGCAACAGACGCCACGUGUGGCGUUCCGAGAGUACCCGAAAGAAAAGCAUCGGCUAACUCCGUGCCAGCAGCCGCCGUAAUACGGAGGAUGCGAACGUUAACCGGAUUUAUUGGGGUUAAAGGGUGCGUAGGCGGAAGUUCAAGUCAGCGGUAAAAUUGAGGGGCUCAACCCCUUCGAGCCGUUGAAACUGGUGUUCUUGAGUGGGCGAGAAGUAUGCGGAAUGCGUGGGGUAGCGGUGAAAUGCAUAGAUAUCACGCAGAACUCCGAUUGCGAAGGCAGCAUACCGGCGCUCAACUGACGCUCAUGCACGAAAGUGUGGGUAUCGAACAGGAUUAGAUACCCCUGUAGUC